rnacentral:rRNA from 1 species
UACCCGCUGAACUUAAGCAUAUCAAUAAGCGGAGGAAAAGAAACCAACAGGGAUUGCCCUAGUAACGGCGAGUGAAGCGGCAACAGCUCAAAUUUGAAAUCUGGCCUCGGCCCGAGUUGUAAUUUGCAGAGGAUGUUUCUGGCGCGGUGCCUUCCGAGUUCCCUGGAACGGGACGCCACAGAGGGUGAGAGCCCCGUAUGGUUGGACACCAAGCCUGUGUGAAACUCCUUCGACGAGUCGAGUAGUUUGGGAAUGCUGCUCUAAAUGGGAGGUAAAUCUCUUCUAAAGCUAAAUACCGGCCAGAGACCGAUAGCGCACAAGUAGAGUGAUCGAAAGAUGAAAAGCACCUUGAAAAGGGGGUUAAACAGUACGUGAAAUUGUUGAAAGGGAAGCGCUCAUGACCAGACUUGUGCCGGGCGGUUCAUCCGGGGUUCUCCCCGGUGCACUCCGCCCGGCUCAGGCCAGCAUCGGUUCUCGUUGGGGGAUAAGAACGGUAGGAACGUGGCCCUCCCUCGGGAGGGUGUUAUAGCCCGCCGUACGAUACCCUGACGGGGACCGAGGUUCGCGCUCCGCAAGGAUGCUGGCGUAAUGGUCAUCAGCGACCCGUCUUGAAACACGGACCAAGGAGUCGUCCAUUAGAGCGAGCGUUUGGGUGUAAAACCCGCACGCGUAAUGAAAGUGAAAUUAGGUGAGAGCUUCGGCGCAUCAUCGACCGAUCCUGAUGUUCUCGGAUGGAUUUGAGUAAGAGUUUUAACGGACGGACCCGAAAGACAGUGAACUAUGCUUGUAUAGGGUGAAGCCAGAGGAAACUCUGGUGGAGGCUCGCAGCGGUUCUGACGUGCAAAUCGAUCGUCAAAUAUGAGCAUGGGGGCGAAAGACUAAUCGAACUGUCUAGUAGCUGGUUACCGCCGAA